UACGUAGGGUGCGAGCGUUGUCCGGAUUUACUGGGCGUAAAGAGCUCGUAGGUGGUUUGUCGCGUCGUCUGUGAAAUCCCGGGGCUCAACUCCGGGCGUGCAGGCGACACGGGCAUAACUUGAGUGCUGUAGGGGAGACUGGAAUUCCUGGUGUAGCGGUGAAAUGCGCAGAUAUCAGGAGGAACACCAAUGGCGAAGGCAGGUCUCUGGGCAGUAACUGACGCUGAGGAGCGAAAGCAUGGGUAGCGAACAGGAUUA
rnacentral:rRNA from 1 species